rnacentral:rRNA from 1 species
UAACGUCCGUCGUGAAGAGGGAAACAACCCAGACCGCCAGCUAAGGUCCCAAAGUCAUGGUUAAGUGGGAAACGAUGUGGGAAGGCCCAGACAGCCAGGAUGUUGGCUUAGAAGCAGCCAUCAUUUAAAGAAAGCGUAAUAGCUCACUGGUCGAGUCGGCCUGCGCGGAAGAUGUAACGGGGCUAAACCAUGCACCGAAGCUGCGGCAGCGACACUAUGUGUUGUUGGGUAGGGGAGCGUUCUGUAAGCCUGUGAAGGUGUACUGUGAGGUAUGCUGGAGGUAUCAGAAGUGCGAAUGCUGACAUAAGUAACGAUAAAGCGGGUGAAAAGCCCGCUCGCCGGAAGACCAAGGGUUCCUGUCCAACGUUAAUCGGGGCAGGGUGAGUCGACCCCUAAGGCGAGGCCGAAAGGCGUAGUCGAUGGGAAACAGGUUAAUAUUCCUGUACUUGGUGUUACUGCGAAGGGGGGACGGAGAAGGCUAUGUUGGCCGGGCGACGGUUGUCCCGGUUUAAGCGUGUAGGCUGGUUUUCCAGGCAAAUCCGGAAAACUAAGGCUGAGGCGUGAUGACGAGGCACUACGGUGCUGAAGCAACAAAUGCCCUGCUUCCAGGAAAAGCCUCUAAGCAUCAGGUAACAUCAAAUCGUACCCCAAACCGACACAGGUGGUCAGGUAGAGAAUACCAAGGCGCUUGAGAGAACUCGGGUGAAGGAACUAGGCAAAAUGGUGCCGUAACUUCGGGAGAAGGCACGCUGAUAUGUAGGUGAAGUCCCUCGCGGAUGGAGCUGAAAUCAGUCGAAGAUACCAGCUGGCUGCAACUGUUUAUUAAAAACACAGCACUGUGCAAACACGAAAGUGGACGUAUACGGUGUGACGCCUGCCCGGUGCCGGAAGGUUAAUUGAUGGGGUCAGCGCAAGCGAAGCUCUUGAUCGAAGCCCCGGUAAACGGCGGCCGUAACUAUAACGGUCCUAAGGUAGCGAAAUUCCUUGUCGGGUAAGUUCCGACCUGCACGAAUGGCGUAAUGAUGGCCAGGCUGUCUCCACCCGAGACUCAGUGAAAUUGAACUCGCUGUGAAGAUGCAGUGUACCCGCGGCAAGACGGAAAGACCCCGUGAACCUUUACUAUAGCUUGACACUGAACAUUGAGCCUUGAUGUGUAGGAUAGGUGGGAGGCUUUGAAGUGUGGACGCCAGUCUGCAUGGAGCCGACCUUGAAAUACCACCCUUUAAUGUUUGAUGUUCUAACGUUGACCCGUAAUCCGGGUUGCGGACAGUGUCUGGUGGGUAGUUUGACUGGGGCGGUCUCCUCCUAAAGAGUAACGGAGGAGCACGAAGGUUGGCUAAUCCUGGUCGGACAUCAGGAGGUUAGUGCAAUGGCAUAAGCCAGCUUGACUGCGAGCGUGACGGCGCGAGCAGGUGCGAAAGCAGGUCAUAGUGAUCCGGUGGUUCUGAAUGGAAGGGCCAUCGCUCAACGGAUAAAAGGUACUCCGGGGAUAACAGGCUGAUACCGCCCAAGAGUUCAUAUCGACGGCGGUGUUUGGCACCUCGAUGUCGGCUCAUCACAUCCUGGGGCUGAAGUAGGUCCCAAGGGUAUGGCUGUUCGCCAUUUAAAGUGGUACGCGAGCUGGGUUUAGAACGUCGUGAGACAGUUCGGUCCCUAUCUGCCGUGGGCGCUGGAGAACUGAGGGGGGCUGCUCCUAGUACGAGAGGACCGGAGUGGACGCAUCACUGGUGUUCGGGUUGUCAUGCCAAUGGCACUGCCCGGUAGCUAAAUGCGGAAGAGAUAAGUGCUGAAAGCAUCUAAGCACGAAACUUGCCCCGAGAUGAGUUCUCCCUGACUCCUUGAGAGUCCUGAAGGAACGUUGAAGACGACGACGUUGAUAGGCCGGGUGUGUAAGCGCAGCGAUGCGUUGAGCUAACCGGUACUAAUGAACCGUGAGGCUUAACCUUACAACGCCGAAGGUGUUU